GACCUUUCGGUUACUGGCACAACGCUCUUAACCACUAAGCUACAUGCCGCCCCUUACCUCAAGUACCCCUACUAAACCAAAGGAUAUGAACAUUAUUUUGACCCUCAAACUGGAAAUGGUUACUUGUCCUGGAAAAUCAAAACCAACCAGAGGAAUUAAGCUUCAUCUGAGAAACGACAAUCUAGCCAGCCAUUCAGCGGUGGCCCAACAGCUGAGAGAGAGACUUCAUCCCGUUCAGAGAUUACCCUGAGUGACGAACAGUGCAGGGAGGCCAUUUCCCUCAUGAAGCAUUCUUCUGAUGAGGCCACCAAGCUGAAGAUGAAGAUGACAUUUGAAAACAGACGGAAGAUGACUCAUGACCCAAGUAAACGCUGUGAGUUGCUGACUGAAUUUCCACGGUUCAUGGAUAUGAAGUGUCUGGAUGGGCCAGUGACCUCUCCUCCAUCCUCCUCUUGCUCCAUUUGAUUCCCCCUUCAUCACAAGGCCACAAAAGACCAGGCAAGGUGUCUACUUCUCAAGCUGAGAAGCAUCUCGUCAUAUUCAAAAAGGCAGGAACCAGUAUCGAGGAACACCUUAAUGCCAUUGCCCAAAGCAGUCAACUGUACCUCCUUGCUGUCAGGACCAUCAGGAGCAACAUCCAUAGUUACUUCAUCAUCCUGGACAAGCAAGCUCUGCCAUGCAACUCCACAAGCGCUCUUGGUGCCUUCA